GAUGAACGCUGGCGGCGUGCCUAAUACAUGCAAGUCGAGCGAACGGACGAGAAGCUUGCUUCUCUGAUGUUAGCGGCGGACGGGUGAGUAACACGUGGAUAACCUACCUAUAAGACUGGGAUAACUUCGGGAAACCGUAGCUAAUACCGGAUAAUAUUUUGAACCGCAUGGUUCAAAAGUGAAAGACGGUCUUGCUGUCACUUAUAGAUGGAUCCGCGCUGCAUUAGCUAGUUGGUAAGGUAACGGCUUACCAAGGCAACGAUGCAUAGCCGACCUGAGAGGGUGAUCGGCCACCCUGGAACUGAGACACGGUCCAGACUCCUACGGGAGGCAGCAGUAGGGAAUCUUCCGCAAUGGGCGAAAGCCUGACGGAGCAACGCCGCGUGAGUGAUGAAGGUCUUCGGAUCGUAAAACUCUGUUAUUAGGGAAGAACAUAUGUGUAAGUAACUGUGCACAUCUUGACGGAACCUAAUCAGAAAGCCACGGCUAACUACGUG
rnacentral:rRNA from 1 species